AUUGAACGCUGGCGGCAGGCCUAACACAUGCAAGUCGAACGAGUGGCGGACGGGUGAGCAAUGUAUGGGAAACUGCCUGAUGGAGGGGGAUAACUACUGGAAACGGUCGCUACUACCGCAUAACAUCAGAUGUGCCCAGAUGGGCUUAGCUUGUUGGUGGGGUAACGGAUCACCAAGGCGACGAUCCCUACCUGGUCUGAGAGGAUGACCAGCGAAACUGGAACUGAGACACGGUCCAGACUCCUACAGGAGGCAGCAGUGGGGAAUAUUGCACAAUGGGCGCAAGCCUGAUGCAGCCAUGCCGCGUGUAUGAAUAAGGCCUUCGGGUUGUAAAGUACUUUCAGCGGGGAGGCGUUACCCGCAGAAGAAGCACCGGCUAACUCCGUGCCAGCAGCCGCGGUAAUAC
rnacentral:rRNA from 1 species